rnacentral:rRNA from 1 species
GAUGAACGCUGGCGGAGUGCCUAAUACAGGCAAGUCGAGCGAAGCGGGGACGGGGGAGUAACACGUGGAUAACCUCAUAUAAGACUGGGAUAACUUCGGGAAACCGGAGCUAAACCGGAUACUUAAAGAUGGAUCCGCGCGGCAUUAGCUAGUUGGUAAGGUAACGGCGUACCAAGGCAACGAGGCAUAGCCGACCUGAGAGGUGUAUCUGCCACACUGGAUCUGAGACACCGUCCAGACUCCUACGGUCGUCAGCAGUAGGUACUCUUCCGCAAUGGGCUAAAGCCUGACCUAGCAACGCCGCGUGAGUGAAGAAGGUUUUCGGAUCGUAAUGCUCUGUUGUUAAGGAAGCGGUACUUAACCAGAAAGGGACGGCUAACUACGUGCCAGCAGCCGCGGUAAUAG